rnacentral:rRNA from 1 species
CAAUAGCGUAUAUUAAAGUUGUUGCGGUUAAAAAGCUCGUAGUUGGAUUUCUGGCACAGCGUCCCUGACCCGCGCCCGCAAGGGCGUGAGCGCACGGGGUUACGCUUGUCAUCCUUCGAGAGAGCGGGUGCUGCCCUUCACUGGGAUUGGCGCUCGCGAUCCCGAUCUUUUACUUUGAAAAAAUUAGAGUGUUUAAAGCAGGCUUGCGCCUUGAAUACAUUAGCAUGGAAUAAUAAUUUAGGACUUCGUUCCUAUUUUGUUGGUUCUCUGGAGUGAAGUAAUGAUUGAUAGGGAUAGUUGGGGGUGCUAGAACUCAGCGGCCAGAGGUGAAAUUCUUGGAUUCGCUGAAGUCUAACUUAUGCGAAAGCAUUCACCAAGGAUGUCUUCUUUAA